GCGGUGCGGGGGCCGGCCGGGCUUGUGGGCGCAGCAACCCUGAAUUGCGGCGGGGCAUUGGUAGUUUCUUUUCACGCGUGACGUGCUUUCCGUGCUGAUCUCUGGGUUGAAGAUCAGAGGUUGGCUGCUGGAAUAUAGACAAAAAUUCAAGCUAGAAACCUGCUACGCCAUCCAACUAGUCAUUUGUGCGACCACGCAUCGACCCGUCCCGGUUUACCCGGAGAAGGUCUUCGAUUGACAAUUUGGAUUAUUCGUCUAAUGAGUCUGGGCGUCCGGUGACCGAGCCGGCAUGGGUGGCUGCCUGUCGAAGGAUUUGAAAGUUGAAGCUCAGGACAUCGGUGUCAUGGGUCAGACCAACUCUCAAAAUGUGCAACGUGGAGUGACGCCCCCCAGCCACCAGACGCCAUCCAGAAAUGGCGGCCCGGCCGGCGGUGGUCACGUGCGCAGUGACGUCAUUCGUACCGCCAGCUCAGGUGAGGUCAGGCGCCACAUAGGCAGAGGUGCGCCCUCCUGCUCAACAGUGGCGUUAGGGCCCGGCGCGCGUCGGACGGCACUCAGUUUUGUGCUGAAGCAGUCAGCUGUUAACGCGGGAAUGUGCGUGCUUCUUCCGCCACUCUCACCUCAUAAAUGUUGUAAGGACGGUAAAGUAACAGUGAGUGAAAUUCCUUUUUGAAUGUGACAGAUGUGUUGAAGGAUUUGCAGUAUUAGUGCUAUGUUGUCGUCCUUUGUUAUUGUUAAUAUCAUCACCGUUUCCGUAUCCUUCAAAGGUGCGCAAAAGCCGGACAUUAGUGGCGAAGAAGCUGU